GACGAACGCUGGCGGCGUGCUUAACACAUGCAAGUCGAACGGAAAGGCCCUGCUUUUGUGGGGUGCUCGAGCGGCGAACGGGUGAGUAACACGUGAGUAACCUGCCCUUGACCUUGGGAUAACUUCAGGAAACUGGGGCUAAUACCGGAUAGGAGCUCCUGCUGCACGGUGGGGGUUGGAAAGUUUCGGCGGCUGGGGAUGGACUCGCGGCUUAUCAGCUUGUUGGUGGGGUAGUGGCUUACCAAGGCUUUGACGGGUAGCCGGCCUGAGAGGGUGACCGGCCACAUUGGGACUGAGAUACGGCCCAGACUCCUACGGGAGGCAGCAGUGGGGAAUAUUGCACGAUGGGCGGAAGCCUGAUGCAGCAACGCCGCGUGCGGGAUGACGGCCUUCGGGUUGUAAACCGCUUUCGCCUGUGACGAAGCGUGAGUGACGGUAAUGGGUAAAGAAGCACCGGCUAACUACGUG
rnacentral:rRNA from 1 species